CCUACGGGUGGCUGCAGUGGGGAAUAUUGGACAAUGGGCGAAAGCCUGAUCCAGCCAUGCCGCGUGUGUGAAGAAGGCCUUCGGGUUGUAAAGCACUUUCAGUGGGGAAGAAAGCCUUGGGGCUAAUACCCUCGAGGAAGGACAUCACCCACAGAAGAAGCACCGGCUAACUCCGUGCCAGCAGCCGCGGUAAUACGGAGGGUGCGAGCGUUAAUCGGAAUUACUGGGCGUAAAGCGCGCGUAGGCGGUCUGAUAAGCCGGUUGUGAAAGCCCCGGGCUCAACCUGGGAACGGCAUCCGGAACUGUCAGGCUAGAGUGCAGGAGAGGAAGGUAGAAUUCCCGGUGUAGCAGUGAAAUGCGUAGAGAUCGGGAGGAAUACCAGUGGCGAAGGCGGCCUUCUGGACUGACACUGACGCUGAGGUGCGAAAGCGUGGGUAGCAGACAGGAUUAGAUACCCGGGUAGUC
rnacentral:rRNA from 1 species